UACUAUGUCCAUAGCAAUAACUAUUGCUGU
rnacentral:piRNA from 1 species